CUGGUUAUGCUCUCGGUUGCUGUUUCCCCCCUUCAUGUAGUGGCUAAUUAGCGAAAUGGUUUCUUCCAUGCUCUGAUUGCCUGUAAAUUAGUCCUUUUGUUUUCCUUAAAAGCAGACUAUAGGCAUAUCUUCCCUUCUUUUCAUUUGAUUUUUCGUGCUGUAGUUCCUGUUGGAAGCUGAAGCUAUUUGUGCUGUUAAGAUAAUAUGGAUUCUUGUUUUUUUUUUUUAGUAACCUGGUUAAAAGCUACAGGUGGUAGUCCUUAUUUAUGUCAGCAUUUCUUAUCUGGUGUGUUUAAAUGAGUGAUGUUUGUUUUAUUAGGAUUAGUUCCUGACUAGGGGCAUGACUUUGGUAUGGUAGGCACAGCUAUUUGGGUUUAAGGCCCCUUGUGGAUGUGUGGAUUGGGCAGUGGUGUUCUGAUUUAUGAGGAGCUGUUUUAAUAUAAUAUUUGGAUUAUUGUUUUGGUGCCAAUCUUUUUACUGAAGUAAAAGAAAAGUGUAUGAUUUU